rnacentral:rRNA from 1 species
UGAGACACGGCCCAAACUCCUACGGGAGGCAGCAGUGGGGAAUCUUGCACAAUGGAGGAAACUCUGAUGCAGCGAUGCCGCGUGAGUGAAGAAGGCCUUUGGGUUGUAAAGCUCUUUCGUCGGGGAAGAAAAUGACUGUACCCGAAUAAGAAGGUCCGGCUAACUUCGUGCCAGCAGCCGCGGUAAUACGAAGGGACCUAGCGUAGUUCGGAAUUACUGGGCUUAAAGAGUUCGUAGGUGGUUGAAAAAGUUGGUGGUGAAAUCCCAGAGCUUAACUCUGGAACUGCCAUCAAAACUUUUCAGCUAGAGUAUGAUAGAGGAAAGCAGAAUUUCUAGUGUAGAGGUGAAAUUCGUAGAUAUUAGAAAGAAUACCAAUUGCGAAGGCAGCUUUCUGGAUCAUUACUGACACUGAGGAACGAAAGCAUGGGUAGCGAAGAGGAUUAGAUACCCUCGUAGUCCAUGCCGUAAACGAUGUGUGUUAGACGUUGGAAAUUUAUUUUCAGUGUCGCAGGGAAACCGAUAAACACACCGCCUGGGGAGUACGACCGCAAGGUUAAAACUCAAAUGAAUUGACGGGGACCCGCACAAGUAGUGGAGCAUGUGGUUUAAUUCGAAGAUACGCGCAGAACCUUACCAACACUUGACAUGUUCGUCGCGACUCUAAGAGAUUAGAGUUUUCGGUUCGGCCGGACGAAACACAGGUGCUGCAUGGCUGUCGUCAGCUCGUGUCGUGAGAUGUUGGGUUAAGUCCCGCAACGAGCGCAACCCUCACUUUUAGUUGCCAUCAUUAAGUUGGGCACUCUGAAAGAACUGCCAGUGAUAAGCUGGAGGAAGGUGGGGAUGACGUCAAGUCCUCAUGGCCCUUACGGGUUGGGCUACACACGUGCUACAAUGGCAUCUACAGUGAGUUAAUCUCCAAAAGAUGUCUCAGUUCGGAUUGGGGUCUGCAACUCGACCCCAUGAAGUUGGAAUCGCUAGUAAUCGCGGAACAGCAUGCCGCGGUGAAUACGUUCCCGGGCCUUGUACACACCACCCGUCACACCAUGGGAAUUGGGUCUACCCGAAGGUGGUGCGCCAACUAUUUAUAGGGGCAGCCAACCACGGUAGGUUCAGUGACUGGGGUGAAGUCGUAACAAGGUAACC